rnacentral:rRNA from 1 species
GAACCAGUACCGUGAGGGAAAGGCGAAAAGAACCCCGGCGAGGGGAGUGAAAAAGAACCUGAAACCGUGUACGUACAAGCAGUGGGAGCCCCACCACUAAGCCAGUGGUGAACUCCACAUACGCAUCCUUUGCUGAAGGCAAUGGUUAACGGAGCGAAAGCGACGUUCAACCGCAAAACAAGCAGAGGGGGCUUAGUGGUGGGGUGACUGCGUACCUUUUGUAUAAUGGGUCAGCGACUUAUAUUCUGUAGCAAGGUUAACCGUAUAGGGGAGCCGGAGGGAAACCGAGUCUUAAUUGGGCGUUAAGUUGCAGGGUAUAGACCCGAAACCCGGUGAUCUAGCCAUGGGCAGGUUGAAGGUUGGGUAACACUAACUGGAGGACCGAACCGACUAAUGUUGAAAAAUUAGCGGAUGACCUGUGGCUGGGGGUGAAAGGCCAAUCAAACCGGGAGAUAGCUGGUUCUCCCCGAAAGCUAUUUAGGUAGCGCCUCGUGAAUUCAUCUCCGGGGGUAGAGCACUGUUUCGGCUAGGGGGCCAUCCCGGCUUACCAACCCGAUGCAAACUGCGAAUACCGGAGAAUGUUAUCACGGGAGACACACGGCGGGUGCUAACGUCCGUCGUGAAGAGGGAAACAACCCAGACCGCCAGCUAAGGUCCCAAAGUCAUGGUUAAGUGGGAAACGAUGUGGGAAGGCCCAGACAGCCAGGAUGUUGGCUUAGAAGCAGCCAUCAUUUAAAGAAAGCGUAAUAGCUCACUGGUCGAGUCGGCCUGCGCGGAAGAUGUAACGGGGCUAAACCAUGCACCGAAGCUGCGGCAGCGAACGUAUCACUUAAAGCGAUUCAGCGGGUUACGAUUGACGGAGCGAAGCGACGUCAAAGCGUAUACAAAGUCGAGUCGGUUUAAGGAUACGUUCGUUGGGUAGGGGAGCGUUCUGUAAGCCUGUGAAGGUGGCCUGUGAGGGUUGCUGGAGGUAUCAGAAGUGCGAAUGCUGACAUAAGUAACGAUAAAGCGGGUGAAAAGCCCGCUCGCCGGAAGACCAAGGGUUCCUGUCCAACGUUAAUCGGGGCAGGGUGAGUCGACCCCUAAGGCGAGGCCGAAAGGCGUAGUCGAUGGGAAACGGGUUAAUAUUCCCGUACUUGGUGUUACUGCGAAGGGGGGACGGAGAAGGCUAUGUUGGCCGGGCGACGGUUGUCCCGGUUUAAGCGUGUAGGUGUGUGUUCCAGGUAAAUCCGGUUCACUUUAACACUGAGGCGUGAUGACGAGGCACUACGGUGCUGAAGCAACAAAUGCCCUGCUUCCAGGAAAAGCCUCUAAGCAUCAGGUAACAUCAAAUCGUACCCCAAACCGACACAGGUGGUCAGGUAGAGAAUACCAAGGCGCUUGAGAGAACUCGGGUGAAGGAACUAGGCAAAAUGGUGCCGUAACUUCGGGAGAAGGCACGCUGACACGUAGGUGAAGUGAUUUACUCAUGGAGCUGAAGUCAGUCGAAGAUACCAGCUGGCUGCAACUGUUUAUUAAAAACACAGCACUGUGCAAACACGAAAGUGGACGUAUACGGUGUGACGCCUGCCCGGUGCCGGAAGGUUAAUUGAUGGGGUCAGCGCAAGCGAAGCUCCUGAUCGAAGCCCCGGUAAACGGCGGCCGUAACUAUAACGGUCCUAAGGUAGCGAAAUUCCUUGUCGGGUAAGUUCCGACCUGCACGAAUGGCGUAAUGAUGGCCAGGCUGUCUCCACCCGAGACUCAGUGAAAUUGAACUCGCUGUGAAGAUGCAGUGUACCCGCGGCAAGACGGAAAGACCCCGUGAACCUUUACUAUAGCUUGACACUGAACAUUGAGCCUUGAUGUGUAG